GAGACACACCCAGCGGCAGCCGUUGACUCCCUCCACCCUUGCUUCCCUCUCAACCAUCUCACCUCCAUCUGUCCAGUGGAGCCAGAUGUCCCACCUUCUUGGGAGAAAUUAAUUGAGGCUCAUUUCCAGGACAGAGGGGCAAGCUGGGUCUGAGGAGCCAAGCAGAAAAACUUCCCAAAAUCACUGGGUGGGGAGGGGUCAGAGACUUACUGCUGCCCCAGCUGUUCUGACUCUGCCCCCAGCUUUUGGCCCCACCCUUUUAAAGCACCUUCAGAGGUUCCCAAUGGUGACAGUAAACAAGUCUCCACUGUCCUGGCCAUCUCUGCUGUGUUCACCCUACUCCUGAUCUUUCUGGCUGCUCAGGGACUGACAGCCAAGAUGUGAGGCUGUGAUGAGCAGGAACAGGGAGGCCUGGAGCCCCCAGAUUUGCAAUGAUCAAGAGGCGUCCUGUGAAUGCAGUUUGCAAAGGACUUAGGCACACAGCAUCUCCUUUGUUCUCACCACAAGGCUGCCGGGUGUGCAGAUGUGAGGAUUAUUUCAAUGGUGAAGAAGCAUCCUGAGAGGUUACGUAGUUCAACUAAUGUCACACCAAGAGCAGGAGAGCAUCUGGGCAUUUGGACAUGGAAGGUGUGGGGCACAAGCAUCUCAUGGCCAGGGAACGGGGGAGGAGCAUCUCAGAGCUGCAUCAGAGUUCAUGCUGGUCCUAGGACAAGAGUCAAGCACACCCUGCUUUCACCAGCUGCUGGUAGCUUUCACUCAGGUUCCCACUUUGGCCACUUAAUUCUCUGAACCUCUACUACAUGAAGAGACUAGAACUUGAUUAGAAAAAAAUGGAAUGACUCUUAAUGAGCAAGUGGAUGAAUAAAUUGUGGUAAAUCCCUACAAGUGACUAUUAGAAA
rnacentral:lncRNA from 1 species